rnacentral:precursor_RNA from 10 species
UGGUUUUCUUGUUUGGUUGGUUUGGGUUGAGUUUUUUUAGGUUUUGAUUUUUAUUACAUCUUUGUACAAAAAUCAAAACGUAAAGAAAAUGCUGCAAAGAUAGAUUGUUCUGCUCUUGGAU